rnacentral:lncRNA from 1 species
GAUUUUGACAGCAUCAGACUGAGUAGAAAAAUUUGAUGUUGCUGUCAAAAUCGCCUCAUGAUUUGCGAAAUCGCUUCAUGAUUCGACAACAUCAGGCUAUGCAGAAAAUUUAUUGUUUCUGUCAAAAUCACCUCACGAUUUGUAAGAUCGCUUCAUGAUUUUGACAGUAGCAGACUAUGCAAAAUUCAACUUCUACGUUUUCGCGCAUAAAAAUCAAACCGUUAAUCCGUUUUCGAUGCCGUUUUCGCCUACAUGCUCCUAACACUUGGCACUAUCAUAAU